CUUUUUGUAUUAAUUUAAAGUCGUGUCUGCCCACUGAGUAUGAUUGAAGGGCCGCGGUAUUUUGACCGUGCAAAGGUAGCAUAAUCAUUAGUCUUUUAAUUGUGGACUGGAAUGAAUGAUUUGACGAGGUAAUUUCUGUCUUUUUUAUAUUUUUGGAAUUUUACUUUUGAGUCAAAAGGCUUAACUGUUAGAGAGGGACGAGAAGACCCUAUAGAUCUUUAUUAUUAAUUAUAGAAGAUUUUUUUGGUUGAAUGUUAUUCUUUUAUAAGAUAUAAUUUUGUUGGGGUGAUGGGAGAAUAAGGAAACUUCUUUUAGUUAUUGACUUUGAUUAACGAAUUUUAGAUCCUUUACUAUGGAUAAAAGAUUAAGAUACCUUAGGGAUAACAGCGUAAUUUUGUUUGAGAGUUCUUAUCGACAAUGAAGAUUGCGACCUCGAUGUUGAAUUAAGAUUAUAUAUUGGUGUAGAAGCUAAUGAUAUUGGUCUGUUC
rnacentral:rRNA from 1 species